rnacentral:lncRNA from 1 species
GUGUAUUUCUAGAUAUGUGAAGGAAUAUUGUCAAAGUGGAUUACAACAAUCGGGGCCAGAAUCAACACAUGAAUUUGUUCUUCCCAAAUUUCCUCUAUUUUCUAUUCAAGAUAUGAGUUUAAGUUUGAUACGAUUCCCACUUCCCAUGUGGCUGGUGCAUGAGCUGCAAUUCAGACUUUAAAAAUUAUAAGCAUAAAAAGAACACAAUUUAGUAAUUUAUGCAGUUUUGAUUAGGAAUCUUGAGUAGUUCAAUUUGAACCUAUGCAAAGUUAAAUAAGUAGUAAUUUUUAUUUAUUAUUUAUUUAUUAUUAUUAUUUUUAUUUUUUUUUUGCAUAUAUUCUGAGCAACUUUUGGUUGAAGUUAUAAUUAAAAGUUUGUAGUAGGGUAUACAAGAAUAUUUUAAAAUGUGAUGCUAAUCUUUUAAUUUUUCUCUGUUUUAAGCAUAUGUUCAACUUUGGUUAAAGUUAUACAUAAAUUUUGUGUGGUAGGUUAUACGAGAAUACUUUAUAUCGUGAUGUUAAUCUUUUACUAUGCAUUUAUCUAAGCAAAAUUUCAUUUUUUUUAAUUAAUGUUAUACUUAAAAGUUUAUGAUAAGGAACACAAGAAUAAUUUAAAAUGUGAUACUGAUUUUUUAAUUUGCAUUUAUUCUAAGCAAAUCUUUGCUUUUGGUUAAAGUUCUACAUGAAAAACAAUGAUAGGAGAUAUGAGAAUACAUUAAGCCCCUAUUUGGUGGUCAUUACUUUCAAAAAACAAUCAUUUAAAUGGUAAUUUUUAAGAGAAUGUAUGGUUAAAAAAUAAGAAAACAUUUCGGGUUUAUGAUACAGGAAAAUCACAGCAAACAAACUGAUUCUUAAAAAAAAAAUGACAGAUACCAGAUAUUAGUUAUGACCACUCAUAGACAAUUGCCUCAAAGUAUAGAGUAGGAUUAAGGCUCACCACUUCAAGGAAAGGGCUAGAGAUCCAGAACACUCAAAGAAGAAAACUCUUCUAAAAAAAACAACCAAGUCUUUAACUUUUU